UACUGCCACAAUGAGGCCAACCAAAGUCCAAGAAAUUAACACCGGUUUUACCUCACUCACAGGACAAGAACAUAAAAUACAAGCUUUAAGGAAAACCCAUGGCAUCUGGCGCCCGUGAGGGGAGACUACAGGAGAUUAGAUUAACAUGCUAUCACAGUACAAACGUAAUAGAGUGUGUCCAUCCAAAACUCUGACUGACUGCAGAAAACCCCAGAGGACACUGCAUACUUUCACCCUGCCCUAACAUGUGCACACACACACACACACACACACACACAUACACAUACACAAUUACACAUAACCCCUCUCAGCUGCUUGUACAAUCACCACACCCGUCUGACAUGACAUCAGCCUGUGAUGUCAUCAUGGGACCAAUGCUGGCAUGCUGUCCAGUGCAACUUCAUCAUCAGCAUCAUCAUCCCUUGGCAGUGGUGGAUGAGCCUGGGAUGGGAGGCAGCUGGAUUGUAACAAUUCCUUCACCCUUUGCACAUGUCACUCUGUGUAUGUGUAUGUGUGUGUGUGUGUGUGUGUGUGUGUGUGUGUGUGUGUGUGUGUGUGUGUGUAUGUAUGCAGAGGGAGCAAAGGGGAGGCUAAAAGACGCAAUUGCUCUAAUUCAAACAAUCUGAGCCAGAUGCAGCUUGGCUUUCUUUGGCCACUUCGUCUUGUUUAUAAUGUACUCUGUGGACAGAGACACAUCGUGUUUGUCAAUAUUUCAACCACAAGGUAAAUAUUAGAGUGACAGUGCUUAUUAAAGAGGAAAAGGAAAGGAGGAAUGUGAUGGAGGGGGCAAACAGAAAUAAGUGGAGAGGGGAGAAAAGAUUCAAGACUCAGAGAGUCAAUAGUCAGAGGAAGGGAACAAGAUGGCAUGAUGGGACUGGACAGGACAGGAUGGGAUGGGAUGACAGGCAAAGGCGAAGCAUGACAGGAUGGGAUGGGACUGGACAGGGAAUUGUAAGGUGGGGCUGCACAAGGUGGGGCAGGACAGGAAAAGUGGUGCAAAAAUAUGAUGACAGGGCAGAAAGCAGAUUGGAUAGGUGCAUUUUGGAAGAGAAUGGUUAGUGGAAAGGAAAAAUACAGGGAAAUAAUAUGAGGACAAAAAGAUGAAAUUAUAAAAUGAGUCAAUUUGAGGAUGUUUGCCUUCAACUUUUUCUAUGAUAAAUGUUAUUUUCACAAUGGAGAGCAGUGCAUUAUCACAAUUAUGAAGAUGGGAUUGCCAAGAAGAGGCAACAUAGCAAAAAAAAGUUUGUCUAUUUCUCAGUACUUUUAUACUUCACCACCCUGUACGUGGCACACUGGCCCAAACUCAUUGAUGAAGAUGUAAAUCUUUAAAAAUUGGUCUUGAAUAUAUACGUUCAUAUUUUUAAAAAGGUUAUCUAAAUAAUCUAAAACAGCUUGGCGAUGUAGUUUCCUGAAAACUUUACUCAAACCACAGUAAAUAGUGGGUUUGUUAGGGACUUUUAGCUGUGGACUUGAUGUGCUGGUGAGGUUUUAACAUUCAGUAAAUCACUCUGAUGAAAGCCCAGCACUGAAACGCGUUGGUAAAAUAAAGAAGAUUCUUCCACGAGUCAGUUGCCAAGUUCUUGUUUUUUUUCUCACACUAGUGAGUUUUUUAAGACAGCAGGACAGUGUGUGAGGGAUUAACUCAAAAAUAAACCACAGCACAGUGCUUGAGAGAGUUUUAAUAAAGACACAUGUCACCCAGUGCAAUGCUGUGACUUAUUGAUGUAGUUUUUGAACAACAAUGAAGCUCUAUGGCACAGAGGUAUAUGUUAUUUAAGGUUUUAUUGUACUUUUUUCAUGGGAUUUGUUGACAUCAAGUAAAAUUAUACUGUACAGUAGAAUAUCACCAAACUGAUCCGUUAGAGAGAAUUUCAUCAGGCUCCAUUUUAUUGAUGUGUUUAAAUGGUUUUAGCUGCUGCACUUUAUGUCAUCUUAUCCAAUGUAUUUACGAUAUUUACUUCCCUUUUAUUGCCUCUGUUAUACUGAUAUGGUUAUAUUGAUUCCCUGAUUGCUUCCUGUGUGAAUUUAUCAUCAGUGUUUAUGUUGUUUUUCUAGCUUUGUCAUUAAAUAUUUGCAUUCGACCUACA